ACAAUCCUAGAGAUAGGACGUUCCCCUUCGGGGGACAGGAUGACAGGUGGUGCAUGGUUGUCGUCAGCUCGUGUCGUGAGAUGUUGGGUUAAGUCCCGCAACGAGCGCAACCCUUGAUCUUAGUUGCCAGCAUUUAGUUGGGCACUCUAAGGUGACUGCCGGUGACAAACCGGAGGAAGGUGGGGAUGACGUCAAAUCAUCAUGCCCCUUAUGACCUGGGCUACACACGUGCUACAAUGGAUGGUACAAAGGGCAGCAAAACCGCGAGGUCGAGCCAAUCCCAUAAAACCAUUCUCAGUUCGGAUUGUAGGCUGCAACUCGCCUACAUGAAGCUGGAAUCGCUAGUAAUCGCGGAUCAGCAUGCCGCGGUCGAAUACGUUCCCGGGCCUUGUACACACCGCCCGUCACACCACGAGAGUUUGUAACACCCGAAGUCGGUGGGGUAACCCUUCUGGGAGCCAGCCGCCUAAGGUGGGAUAGAUGAUUGGGGUGAAGUCGUAACAAGGUAAGCGUAGAUGA
rnacentral:rRNA from 1 species